rnacentral:rRNA from 1 species
GACGAACGCUGGCGGCGUGCCUAAUACAUGCAAGUUGAGCGCUGAAGGUUGGUACUUGUACCAACUGGAUGAGCAGCGAACGGGUGAGUAACGCGUGGGGAAUCUGCCUUUGAGCGGGGGACAACAUUUGGAAACGAAUGCUAAUACCGUAUAAAAACUUUAAACACAAGUUUUAAGUUUGAAAGAUGCAAUUGCAUCACUCAAAGAUGAUCCCGCGUUGUAUUAGCUAGUUGGUGAGGUAAAGGCUCACCAAGGCGAUGAUACAUAGCCGACCUGAGAGGGUGAUCGGCCACAUUGGGACUGAGACACGGCCCAAACUCCUACGGGAGGCAGCAGUAGGGAGUCUUCGGCAAUGGACGAAAGUCUGACCGAGCAACGCCGCGUGAGUGAAGAAGGUUUUCGGAUCGUAAAACUCUGUUGGUAGAGAAGAACGUUGGUGAGAGUGGAAAGCUCAUCAAGUGACGGUAACUACCCAGAAAGGGACGGCUAACUACGUG